UAAAAGUCAGGUCGGAUUAAGCCAUAGUACGGAAAAAACUGUGCUACCUGUGAGCCCCGUCCAAGGACGUUAAAAGAAGUCAGGCCACCACAAAUGCCACGGCUUGAGUAAACCGUGCAGCCUGUAGCUCCACCUGAGGAGGUGUAAAAAACCUGGGAGGCCACAAACCAUGGAAGCUGUACGCAUGGCGUAGUGGACUAGCGGUUAGAGGAGACCCCUCCCUUACAAAUCGCAGCAACAACGGGGG
rnacentral:lncRNA from 1 species